CCUUUCUAACUCCAAACCUCAUCUCUUCUUAGCUCUGGCUGCUAUUCUUGGAGUAGUUCCAUUUUUGGGAACAUACUGGGCAACUGCGCCUGCAGUUCUAGAUCUUUGGCUUUAUCAAGGAAAAGGAUAUAAAGCUAUGCUUCUCUUCAUUUGUCAUCUAUUGCCAACUUACUUUGUGGAUACAGCAAUCUAUUUGGAUAUAUCUGGAGGAGGUCAUCCUUAUCUGACAGGACUUGCAAUAGCUGGUGGAACAUAUUACCUGGGACUAGAAGGAGCCAUCAUAGGACCCAUACUUCUUUGUAUUUUUAUGGGUGCCUCUAAAAUUUACAGUGCUGUACUUGUGAGUCCAACAAAUUAAUUACUUGCUCUACUGCAGAUGCCUUUGAAGAUUUAUUGGUAAAUAUUCAUUCAUCUAUUUGUUAGAUUUAUAACCAGCCUUUCUUAUAGAAGCUUUUAAAAUAUAACUUUGGAGAUGCAUUUAAUCAUUUAUUUACAUUGAUACUCAUGUUAAAGCAUGUGUGAUACAUUAGUAGGUAUUUAGUAGGUAUGUGGACACACACGGGCACACACAGAGAGGGAGAAAGAGAGAGAGUGCGAUAAAAAUGUAAAGAUAAAAUCCAGAUUUCCUAUUAAGGAAAUAAUUAAUAAAACUAAUCAAAAAUUAGUCUAGUAAUGACUAGUGAUGACAUUGUUAAAAUAUGGAUUUUUUUCUUGUGUAAUUUCUUAUUUAAUGCUUACAUGACUUGAAAAAAUGUUAAAAAGGAAAUAAACUAAAUUGAAAAAAAUGAAGAUGCAAAAUUGUUCAAAUGAAAUAAUUUAUAAAUUGAUAUCCUUGCUGCUAAUUAUUUCACAUUUGUAAAAUCUGUGAUUUUCUAAAGUACACAUCAAUUAGAUUUAAAAAAGAAAUCACUACAGAUUUUACUCCAUUUGUCAUGACUGACUAUAGGGGAUGCUCACUUCCGCUUCAAGGCCAUUGAACCAGUGUUGUCCAAAGACAUUUCUGCAGUCAUGUGGCCAGCAUGACUUAACAAAGUGUUGUUAUCUUCUUACUAAAGUGGUGCCUAUUUAUCUACUCGCAUUUGCACGCUUUCAAGCUGCUAGGUGACAGGAGCUGGGGUGAGGAUGGCAGCUCACCUCAUUGUGUUGUUUUUGGGCCUUGAACCUGAACUGCUGGUUUUCCAGGCCAUAAGCUCAGCAUCUUAAAACCACUGAGUCACCAUGCUAACCUAUGCAUCAAUUAAGCAGAAGUGAGAAUAGUCUGGAAGGCUGUAAAUAAUGGACAGCCUUGCAUCAAAAUAAUAAAAAGUGAUUUUCAAGGAAGUUGAAAAUUGAGUUUCACGG